rnacentral:misc_RNA from 1 species
GAAAUGCGAUACUUGGUGUGAAUUGCAGAAUCCCGUGAACCAUCGAGUCUUUGAACGCAUAUUGCGCCCGAGGCUUCGGCCAAGGGCAUGUCUGCCUCAGCGUCGGUUUUACCCCUCGCUUUAUCAUCUUAGGAUGAAUCCUCCGGGCUUUUAAAGCGGAUCUGGCCUCCUCAACUUAGCAAUAGGUUGGGUUGGCUGAAGUGCAGAGGCUAGAGCUUGGACCCGAUAUGGGCUUCAACUGGAUAGGUAGCACCAGCCUCGGCUGACUACACGAAGUUGAUGCUUGCGGUCUUUGCUGGCGGCCAGCAGGAAACCUUCAAACCUUCGACCUGAGCUCAGGCAAGAUUACCCGCUGAACUUAA